AUUCUCUUACUUCGAUGGCUGUCACUUGUAUACGCACACAUUGAUAUGUUUGAUUGUAUUGCUUCAUAAACAUUUUUCGCCUACGAUAGCCAUGCAGGAGACAAUCUGUGCUACGUUUUUGACAAAAUAAUUAGUUUUUAAAUUCACAUAUUAUGGAGCAGGCCAAAUCUAAUUCACCCAAACUAUUUGUGAGCACCGCAAUAGAAAAUAAGGAUGAAGUGGAAGAGAGGUACGAAAGGGCUUACAACUAUUUUCAAUCUCUUGUAGCGGACUGCACCGAAAAAGAAGCACAUGACGCCCUUAAUAACGCAGUCUGUAAAAAUCAUGAGGAAGUUUCAGUUGGCAUGCUCAUGUCUAUACUUACAGAACCGCAGAAUGCUACAAAAUGUUACAGAGAUCUUACACUUAUAACCAGAGAUGGACUAACGUGUGUGCUUAAUAAUCUAUCCAAUUUAAUUUUAGAAAGGUACUUAAAGUUUUCGGACACUACAAGGAACCAAUUAAUGUGGCUAAUAAAAGAGAUGAUUAGAAAUGCAGUUACAGGAAUAGAUAAUGUUUGUUGGAAUUUAAUGCGAUACGCAUCCGGAGGCGAUAUAACACCCAAAAAUAUUAUAUUAGUAGAAUCUCUGUUGGACAUGUUUAUUGAACAUAGAGGUUGGUUGGAUAAGUUCCCUGUACUUAUAUGCAUGGUUGUGUAUACAUACUUAAGGCUUGUAGAAGACCAUAAUAUACCCCAGUUAAUGAACCUAAGACAGAAAGAAGUUAACUUUGUUAUCACUCUGAUAAGGGAACGUUUUACUGAUGUCUUAUCUUUGGGAAGAGACUUAGUAAGACUGCUUCAAAAUGUUGCUCGCAUACCAGAGUUCAAUCAGCUUUGGCAGGAUAUCUUGGUCAAUCCCAAAUCAUUAAGCCCUACAUUUACCAAUGUGCUACAAUUGUUACAAACACGAACAUCUAGAAGGUAUCUUCAGUCAAGAUUAACUCCGGACAUGGAAAGGAAAUUAGUUUUUCUAACUUCACAAGUUCGGUUCGGUCACCACAAAAAGUAUCAAGAAUGGUUCCAGAGACAAUAUCUUGCCACACCAGAGUCACAAUCACUAAGAAGUGAUAUGAUAAGGUUUAUUGUUGGAGUAAUUCAUCCCACUAAUGAACUUCUCUGUUCUGAUAUAAUUCCCAGAUGGGCAGUGAUUGGUUGGCUCCUUACAACUUGUACGUCAAAUGUAGCUGCAUCAAAUGCUAAAUUGGCCCUGUUUUAUGAUUGGCUUUUUUAUGACCCUGAAAAAGACAACAUUAUGAAUAUAGAACCUGCCAUCCUUGUUAUGCACCAUUCAAUGAGAUCACAUCCAGCAGUGACUGCAACAUUAUUAGAUUUCUUGUGUCGAAUCAUUCCAAACUUCUACCCACCAUAUGCAGAGAAAGUUAGACAAGGAAUAUUCAAUUCCCUUCAACAAAUAAUUGAGAAAAGGGUUUUGCCAAAUUUGCAUCCUCUGUUUGACUCUCAAAAGUUGGACCGAGAAUUGCGUUCCACUGUAAGAGAAACCUUUAAAGAAUUUUGUACGAAUGGGAAUGGUGAAGGUGUAUCUGGCAUACGCGAUGAGGGUACUGAUGAUGCAAUACCAAGAGUUGGGUCCGAUGAACCAGCAUUCUCGGAUGAUGAAGAAGAGACCAUUACACCAACUAUAGCAGAAGAUACUGAUGAUGAUGAUUUACCUUUAUCAGAAGUUCGUGCCAGAGAAAGACCUGAACUAGCUGCUGCACUGCCGUUAGUUUUGCGACCACUAGCAGAAACGCUUCUGGAUGAGCGAACAUCAUCUUCCGCAACUGCUUUGCUUGAUGCAUGCGGAUCUCCAUCGCCAACGCCGAAAGCUCUCGCAGAUCUUUUUGCUGCUGCGGUUCAAGAAGCAACACCUCUACGUAUAAGCAACAAUCCCGCUCCAGCCGAAUUAGAUAAUGCAAUAAAUUCACCGCUUUUUUCCAUGUUCAAUUAUCUAAUAGACUCGAGUAGUGGAGCUGAACAUAAACGGAAACUGGUAUUAGAAACGUUCAAAGAAAUCCACAGUCAAGGUUCUCUGAGAUGUGUCGGUUUUAGCCUACUGUUUUAUUUAAGAGUCUGCUACGAAAGAGAUCGUCGUUCAGAACGAGAUUCGGCGAAAAGACGUAACGUGAAAUUCAAAGCUGACGUUUAUAAGGACUACUGUAGUUAUUUAGAAUUAAAAUUAGCCGAGAGCUUAGCGGACGAUUUCGAAAGGUGCCAAGAAUACGACACCAAUGUUUUAGUUUGGUUAAUACCAGAUGUUUAUAGAGAGUUCAAAGACCAAGCACAGAAUCAUAUAAGAUUAUUGCAUGCAAUCGUAUCGACCCUAGAUGCGUGUCAACUUCAAAGACUAAUCUGUUUGACAUUGCAAGGAAAUUUAAUGAUGUUCAAAUCGGACGAUAUCACGACAAUGUUGUCGACCAGCCUUGGAUGGGAGACGUUCGAACAGUAUUGUCUGUGGCAACUGUUAACCGCCCAUGACAUAUCCGUUGAGGAUGUUUUACCGAUCAUUCCGAAGUUAUCAUUCAAAGAGCAUUCGGAGGCGCUCACGUCCGUUCUGUUGAUGUUGAAGCAGGAAAGACCGACCGCCGAUGUCGUAAGACAGUUGUUCUGUAGAACAUACGACGAGGAGGAUACAUCGGUGGUUUCAACGUUGAUGUAUUGGUGCCAAGAUUACGAAGAUAAAGUCGGUGAUUUAGUCGCGGCAUUGUUGAGUACGCGCUAUCCGGGUACUAGUCCGAACAAGCGAAAACGUCCAGGGAAACACAGCAUGCCACCAAACGCACCGCCGUCUGCAGAGUUGGUGCUCAAACAUUUGGAGCAGAUGAGAAUGUGCUGCGUUGAACAAGACGACAUGUCGAUUUUCAACAUGGAAUGUAUGCAGAAGGCCCUACAACAAGCUCAAUCGAAUAGUAGCGAUAGUUUAAGGGUAAGGAAGUUCAUUGUUUUAUUAAUAAAUAAUGACGGUAUUGUUCACGGUGAACAGAAAAAUUACAAGUGUAAGCAUUGAGGUCGUUAUCGUAACGGUCUAUAUACAAUGUAACCGAUUAUCAUGGUAAAAUACGAGUACCUUUUAUUGGGGCAAGGCUUUGAAAUAGGACGCCCACAUACGAGUACACAAUGGCUGAUUUUAUUUAAAAAAAAAACCUUUGACGUGUAAUAUGUACCCAGAAUUAAACGCCUUUUUUAUCAAGUCGGUUAAAGUAGUUGUUGAGAAUAAUCGACUGUCUACUUGACGUUUUCCGGAAUAACGCUUCGCCGCACCGCACUGAUGACCUCACGCUCGCGUCGGUACAGUCGUGUGAUUUUGUUCUUAUCAUCUAAAUAAAAAAACAUGUUGAAAUAUCUCAAAAAUAAACUACAUUUAUAAAUGAGGUUUUCAUCGAUGUACGCAAUAAAGUAAAAAGAUAAUUAAAUACAAUGAUAUAACUCUGUGUGAUUGAAAAAGUUAGCUUAGAAUAUUUGAGAGAAAAAAAACCUAAUAGAAUUAAUCAUGCAGCGAUGAAGAUGUCACAGGUUUAUGGACCAAUAUUCAUGUGCUAUCUAAGGUUGAUUUUAAAUAAUAAAAACGUUUGUUUGUAAUUUUAUGAUAUAGUUUUAAUUGUAGUUAAUUUACUGAACUACAAAACUUUUUUUUAUUGCUUAGAUGGGUGGACGAGCUCACAGCCCACCAGGUGAUAAGUAGUUCCCUGUACUAGAUCCCAUAGACAUAUACAACGUAAAUGCGCCACCCACCUUGAGAUAUAAGUUCUAAGAUCUCAGUAUAGUUGCAACGGCUGCCCCACCCCUCGAACCGAAACGCAUUACUGCUUCACGGCAGAAAUAGACGGGGUGGUGGUACCUGCCUACCCCUGUGGACUCACAAGAGGUCCUACCACCAGUAAUUCUGCUACAAUUACAAAUUUCCACUUUCGACAUUUAGGAUCUACCAUAAAUUACACAGCCAUAUUAAUAUAAAAUAUUUAAGCAACUAAAUUACCGUUUAUACUUUCUGAGCUGCACGACAAAAUUCGAUAACCGAUAGCAAAAUGUGGUUACGAUACUACAUUAAAUAUUAGUUAUUGUUCAGAGGUGUGUGGUAUAUGGGAAAAAUACAUUAAUUCUGACUUCUAAUAAUCUUUGUAUGUAUACGCCAAAUAAGAUAAAGUACUGUAAAACAGAGACAAUAUAGUGAAUUAUUUUCUUUGGCGUGGGAAGACGAAUUACCCAUAUCUAGACGUGCUAGGAAAUUAGUUUCGAAUUCAAUGCCAAUCAACGC